UACGUAGGGGGCAAGCGUUGUCCGGAUUUAUUGGGCGUAAAGAGCGUGUAGGCGGCUAGGUAGGUCCGUUGUGAAAACUCGAGGCUCAACCUCGAGACGUCGAUGGAAACCAUCUAGCUAGAGUCCGGAAGAGGAGAAUGGAAUUCCUGGCGUAGCGGUGAAAUGCGCAGAUAUCAGGAAGAACACCCGUGGCGAAGGCGGUUCUCUGGGACGGUACUGACGCUGAGACGCGAAAGCGUGGGGAGCGAACAGG
rnacentral:rRNA from 1 species